rnacentral:lncRNA from 1 species
ACUUGAAUCUUUUUGAUCUAUGAAUCGGACUCUUUGUAUCGGCGAUUACCUUUCCUGUAAAACAUAAAAAAAAUAUCAAAUUCUUAAUAAAUAAAAUAAAUUAAAUAUAAUUUUCUUCUUUAAAUGACUUAAAUUAAGUAUUUAUCACGGCCCCAGCCAGGCGACCUUCUUCUGUCCGAGCUGCCUCCCUCUUGGCGAUCUUCACUGCCUCGACGUUGGCGACAAGCUGGUGCCCAAUCUGCAAGAA